rnacentral:rRNA from 2 species
UACGUAGGCAGCAAGCGUUGUUCGGAAUUACUGGGCGUAAAGCGUGCGUAGGCGGUUGGCUAAGUUUGGUGUGAAAUCUCCCGGCUCAACUGGGAGGGUGCGCCGAAAACUGGCCGGCUAGAGUGCGGGAGAGGGAAGUGGAAUUCCUGGUGUAGCGGUGAAAUGCGUAGAUAUCAGGAGGAACACCGGUGGUGUAGACGGCUUCCUGGACCGUGACUGACGCUGAGGCACGAAAGCGUGGGGAGCAAACAGG